UAACCGCGGGCUCAGAUUCAAUGCAGACGGGAAGCAGGGUGAAGGCUGGCCCGGCUGGGAUGGAGCGGAGCGGAAAGUUGCGGUUCUGACCGUGGCCUUCCGAUAUCUUGAUACGUAUAGAGACUUAUUGCAGGAGGAGGGAGAACGGUCCAAUACCUUCCCAAAGGAACUGUAUCUGUGCGCUGUUCAAGAUCUCAGCCGCUUUCCAGAGUUGGUGGAGGACGUCCUGAAGCUUCAGCGCUGGAGUGAGAUACUACAAAGCCCGGCAGAGGAGGACAAGGAGAGCCGUAAGAAGCAAGUUCGUCCACUUUUCCGACACUUUCGGCGUAUCGAUGCCUGCCUACAGCCCCGAGAGGCUUUCCGCGGCUCAGAUGAGAGUAUGUUUUCAUAGUGUGA